GGUGCAGUGGUAUAGUGGUUUGAGCAUUGGACUAGGACUCCCAGAGACUAGGGUUCAAAUCCCCCCUCAACCA